rnacentral:rRNA from 1 species
UUACCGCGGCUGCUGGCACGGAGUUAGCCGGUGCUUCUUCUGUAGGUUACGUCAAGACUCACGGUUAUUAACCGUAGGCUUUUCUUCUCUACUGAAAGUGCUUUACAACCCGCAGGCCUUCUUCACACACGCGGCAUUGCUGGAUCAGGCUUGCGCCCAUCGUCCAAUAUUCCCCACUGCUGCCUCCCGUAGGAAGCCGAAUUCCAGCACACUGGCGGCCGUUACUAGUGGAUCCGAGCUCGGUACCAAGCUUGGCGUAAUCAUGGUCAUAGCUGUUUCCUGUGA